UAUGUGAGGGGGCAAGCGUUGUCCGGAUUUAUUGGGCGUAAAGAGCGUGUAGGCGGCUAGAUAGGUCCGUUGUGAAAACUCGAGGCUCAACCUCGAGACGUCGAUGGAAACCAUCUGGCUAGAGUCCGGAAGAGGAGAGUGGAAUUCCUGGUGUAGCGGUGAAAUGCGCAGAUAUCAGGAAGAACACCCGUGGCGAAGGCGGCUCUCUGGUACGUGACUGACGCUGAGACGCGAAAGCGUGGGGAGCAAACAGG
rnacentral:rRNA from 1 species